rnacentral:lncRNA from 1 species
GACAAGAGAAGUAUUCCGAAAGGGCUCUGCUGAUCCAAGAUGGGCUUCAUUACGAUGCUUUAGCUGUAUGUGGUUCUGAUGAUUUAUGUUAAUUUUCUGUUUAUGAAUUUUACUGGUUAUCAGUGUGGACGGAUAAGUAAGAAGUGGCUUCACUAUGGCCUCAAGUAGGGCCAAUUUUUUGGAAAUAUGUGGUUUCCUUGUUUUACCAAAAUGCCCUUAAAUAAAUCCCAAUUUUCAACACCCAACCAAGUUCUCCUAUGUUUUUUGAGUUUUUAACGCCAAACAUGUAAGCACAUAGGACUCAAAUCGCCUGAGAGCCACACCUCUGUAUCUCCCUAACAAAUCUAAUGUUAAUCUCUUUCACAACAACACAGACUGCUCAAUGGCUAUUGAAUCUUCCCUUUUUCCCAUGCUCUCUUUACCUAUGUGCUGAGAGACUUUGCCUCGUAGGUCUUGGCUUUUGCUCUUUUCGAGUUGUACUUUUUCAUGAUUUAUAAUUGAUGUGAAUUAAUUUUCAAUAUAUGUUAAAACAAAGAUAGUUACUGAUAUUUAAGCUAUUUUAUUUCUGGACAUUUGCUCUCCUCUGUUUCUAAUUAAGGUUAAAUUUUCCCAGUUAAUGGUCAUUGGUUUCUGCAUCAUAUUGUCUCAGAUGUCACCCCUUGAGGGAGCUCCAGAGGAGUUUGAUCAGACUAUAUUUGCAGUUAAGGACAGUACCAUUGGGCCAGUUGAGGGGCUCGCUCUUAAUCUUGUGAAAGAAGAACAAAGGUAGUGCUUAUGGUUUCAUGGUGGCUUCUAUCCAUAGUGCACAUACAAACACUACUACACAUAAUAUGUGAAAACAUUAAAUGUUCCUUGGGCUUUUAGUCUGGAAUUAGCAUGUUGAGAUGAUAAAAAAUACAGAGCAUGUGAUUUAGGGGAUUAUUUCUGAUACUUCCACUCUAAACAUGUAGUUCAGUGUGCAGAAGUUUUCUAGUUCACUAUACAUCGAUCAACCUAGUUUACAAACCUAUACAAGUUGAAGAGACAAUAUUUUUUAACUUCUAGUACACUGUCUUGAAAUUUUUUUCCAGAUCUCUAUGUACUGAGGGCAUCCUAGUUGUUGAACCUGAAUAGUACUAACAGUGCACGCUUAUUACUCCGUGCAUGCAAAAUCUGGUUUUUGAACAUUUCAAAAUAAUAAUCAAUAAAUUUGUUCUCGACUUAAGAUGAUUGAGAACUAUAGGACAUGUUUGAUGUGUUUAGUCUGUAUGUAAAAGAUGAAUUUUGUUUGAACUUUUUUCCCAUGUUUUGCCUACUAUGUUAUCAAAAUGCUUGAGGUAAUAUGUGUUUCGUCACUCUUGGUUCCAUUUUGUGCUCCUACUACUCGUAUAGCUCAGGUAUACCAAAAUUAUGCCUUAAUACCAUGAUUCUGCUUCUCAGUAAAAGGAGAUACACUGAGACUGCCAACUUCACUUUGCGCUGUGGGGUGUGCUAACUUGAACUAGGCGGCCAGAAGGUUAUUUCUUAACUUGCCUCUUUUGAUUUUCUAAAUUUGUGGUUGUGCGCAUGAGAUUUCCAUUAGUCUUAGUAUACUGAAUAAAUUUCGAUGGAUAUUCAGGAGGCUGUGGGGCAUGCACGAGCGCAAGGCAUGUCAACUUUCAAGAAUACAGAUAACAUAGAUAUAGUCCCAAUUUCAUUGCAGUGUAAUAAUACCUUUGUAUUCACUUAUUGUUUCAUGGUCC